rnacentral:rRNA from 1 species
ACAGUGUUGCAAUAGAAAUUCCACCUAGUACGAGAGGAACCGUUGAUUCACACAAUUGGCCAUCGCGCUUGGCUGAAAAGCUAGUGGCGCAAAAAUACCAUGUGCUGGAUCAUGACUGAACACUUCUAAGUCAUAAUCCAGGCUAGAAGCGACGCAUGCGCCCGCCGUCCGCUUGCUGACCCGUAAUAGGGGCCUAUUGUCCCCAAGGGCACGCGUUGUUGGCUAAGUCGCCGCGACACAAGCGUCGCAGUGACCGCCUUGAAGAACAAUUACAGUCGAGCGGCGGGUAGAAUCCUUUGCAGACGACUUAAAUACGCGACGGGGUAUAGUAUGUGGUAGAGUGGCCUUGCUGCCACGAUCCACUGAGAUUCAGUCCUUUGUCGCUCCGAUUC